rnacentral:rRNA from 1 species
AUGAGUGUCCUAGCUUGGAACUGUUGUGGCGCUGGCAAACCGGCGACAGUUCGAGAGCUUCGCGAUAUGGCGAGGCAGUUUGCCCCCUCGAUCCUCUGCAUCUUAGAAACCCAGAUCGAGGGAACUCGAGUAGAGAGUUUGUCUAGCACCUUAAACUUUGAUAAUAGUUUUGCAGUUAGUAGCACUGGUAGGAGUGGUGGUCUUGGAAUUUUUUGGAAUAAUUCAAUAAAGGUAGAAAUUGCUGGUUACUUGGAGUAUCAUAUUGAUGUGCUGGUUGAUGAU